GGCUCAUUAAAACAGUUAUAGUUUAUUUGAUAAUCGAAUUUACAUGGAUAACCGUGGUAAUUCUAGAGCUAAUACAUGCUGGUUAGCCUGACUUUUGCGGAAGGGCUGUAUUUAUUAGAUAACAAACCAAUAUUCCUUGUGUCUAUUGUGAUGAUUCAUAAUAACUGAUCGAAUCGCAUGGGCUUUGCCCGCGAUACAUCAUUCAAGUUUCUGCCCCAUCAGCUUUCGAUGGUAGUGUAUUGGACUACCAUGGCGUUCACGGGUAACGGAGGAUUAGGGUUCGAUUCCGGAGAGGGAGCCUGAGAAACGGCUACCACAUCUAAGGAAGGCAGCAGGCGCGUAAAUUACCCAAUCCUGACUCAGGGAGGUAGUGACAAGAAAUAACGGACCGAAGCCUAUGUUUCGGGAUUGCAAUGAGUAGAAUUUAAACCCCUUUACGAGGAUCAAUUGGAGGGCAAGUCUGGUGCCAGCAGCCGCGGUAAUUCCAGCUCCAAUAGCGUAUAUUAAAGUUGUUGCAGUUAAAAAGCUCGUAGUUGGAUUUCUGGAAGGGUGCCAAUGUCCGCUCGUUGCGUGUGCAGCGGCGCCCUUCCAUCCUUCUGUUAACGUUUCUGAUAUCAUUUAUUGGUCUCGGGCUCAGAUAUUUUACUUGAGCAAAUUAGAGUGUCCAGGCAGGCUUGCGCCCGGAAUAAUUAGCAUGA
rnacentral:rRNA from 1 species